GUCCCUGUCGAUUAGUGGUUAAAUCAUCUCGUUGUGGUUUACUGCUCCGAGAAGCCGGAGGUUCGAAUCCUCCUCGGGACA
rnacentral:tRNA from 1 species